rnacentral:rRNA from 1 species
CCUACGGGUGGCAGCAGUCGAGAAUCAUUCACAAUGGGGGAAACCCUGAUGGUGCGACGCCGCGUGGGGGAAUGAAGGUCUUCGGAUUGUAAACCCCUGUCAUGUGGGAGCAAAUUAAAAAGAUAGUACCACAAGAGGAAGAGACGGCUAACUCUGUGCCAGCAGCCGCGGUAAUACAGAGGUCUCAAGCGUUGUUCGGAAUCACUGGGCGUAAAGCGUGCGUAGGCUGUUUCGUAAGUCGUGUGUGAAAGGCGCGGACUCAACCCGCGGACGGCACAUGAUACUGCGAGACUAGAGUAAUGGAGGGGGAACCGGAAUUCUCGGUGUAGCAGUGAAAUGCGUAGAUAUCGAGAGGAACACUCGUGGCGAAGGCGGGUUCCUGGACAUUAACUGACGCUGAGGCACGAAGGCCAGGGGAGCGAAAGGGAUUAGAUACCCCGGUAGUC